rnacentral:rRNA from 1 species
UACAGAGGGUGCGAGCGUUAAUCGGAAUUACUGGGCGUAAAGCGUGCGUAGACGGUUAUUUAAGUCGGGUGUGAAAGCCCCGGGCUCAACCUGGGAAUUGCAUUCGAGACUGAAUAGCUAGGGUACGGUAGAGGGAAGUGGAAUUUCCGGUGUAGCGGUGAAAUGCGUAGAUAUCGGAAGGAACAUCAGUGGCGAAAGCGACUUCCUGGACCAGUACCGACGUUCAGGCACGAAAGCAUGGGGAGCAAACAGG